UCUUCAAAUCACGUUCUCCCCUCCGUACCUUCCCCCUCCGUGGCCUCCGUGCAUAGACGAAGAGUGAGUGAGGGAGAGCGUGAUCCUUCGAGAGAGAAGUAGGAACCCUAAUUCCUUUCUUCUUCAGCUUUUUUGUUUUUCUUGAAUUAAACCCUAGAACCGAGAGUGAAGGGAGUUGAGAGGCAUACCUAAUCCUUCUUUUGCGAUUGAAAACCACCAGCGCCAGUACUCAGAUAACUUCUUCGAUGGCUCUUCCAACGGCAACAGGUGGCUCCAAUUUGCGGGCCUCCAACACCUUCAAUCCUCCACCAAUCAACUUCCUCCGCAUCAGGACUAUAAUUUAUAUGGCGGCGGAGGAGCGCAGGGAGGAAGAAUGUACCGGAACGCGCAGAGGAGCUUUAACAGAGGGACUGAGUAUUAUGCGGAGCCUUCCAGUCCUCCCGGUGGUUACCGUGCUUCGAUGCUGAAAAAGAACGGCGAUGAUUUGUCUGGUGAUUUCAGCCCCGGCUCGUUGGAUAUGCAUUUGUUUGAUAGCGAGCUUCUUCGUCCUGAGGAGGGGGAGUAAAAUCAUCGUGGAGUUCUUCAACAUCGUCAUGGAUACCCACAACCUCCGUGUCGGCUUCAGGAAAGAGGAUUCAGAGGGAAAUGGUGGAACUCAACAACGACCCUCCUCCCGAUUGCUCCGCUG